rnacentral:rRNA from 1 species
CGGUAGAGGGGGCAACCCCUUGAGAGUGGCGAACGGGUGAGUAAUGUAUCGGAACGUGCCCAGUCGUGGGGGAUAACGUAGUGAAAAUUACGCUAAUACCGCAUACGAUCUAUGGAUGAAAGCGGGGGAUCGCAAGACCUCGCGCGAUUGGAGCGGCCGAUAUCAGAUUAGGUAGUUGGUAGGGUAAAGGCCUACCAAGCCAACGAUCUGUAGCUGGUCUGAGAGGACGACCAGCCACACUGGAACUGAGACACGGUCCAGACUCCUACGGGAGGCAGCAGUGGGGAAUUUUGGACAAUGGGCGAAAGCCUGAUCCAGCCAUUCCGCGUGCAGGAUGAAAGCCCUCGGGUUGUAAACUGCUUUUGUACAGAACGAAAAGGUUUCUAUUAAUACUAGGAGCUCAUGACGGUACUGUAAGAAUAAGCACCGGCUAACUACGUGCCAGCAGCCGCGGUAAUACGUAGGGUGCAAGCGUUAAUCGGAAUUACUGGGCGUAAAGCGUGCGCAGGCGGUUAUAUAAGUCAGAUGUGAAAUCCCCGGGCUCAACCUGGGAACUGCAUUUGAGACUGUAUAGCUAGAGUACGGCAGAGGGGGAUGGAAUUCCGCGUGU